rnacentral:lncRNA from 1 species
AACCAUGUCAUCCCCUUAGCUCUUUGAGGCCCCAGAAGGAAUUCCAGAAGUGGGGUGGUGGUGUUGUUAAGAGAAGUGAUGAUGCCAUAAAGGAACUCCAAAGAUGGCAUGGAUCAGUUAUGAUUUAGUGGGAUAUGGAGGUUGGAUGGAAUGAAGGAGAGGGCCCUCCCUGAGUCCCUAACCACCUCCCUUGUUCCUAUUUACUCUGAGACAGAUGACAAGAGUUCUCCUGGUCCCCAACUUUUCAGACCACCCAG